UCGGCUCACCAAGGCGACGAUCCGUAACUGGUCUGAGAGGGAUGAUCAGUCACACUGGAACUGAGACACGGUUCCAGUACUCCUACGGGAGGCAGCAGUGGGGAAUAUUGGACAAUUGGGCGAAAGCCUGAUCCAGCCAUGCCGCGUGUGUGAAGAAGGUCUUCGGAUUGUAAAGCACUUUAAGUUGGGAGGAAGGGUUGUAGAUUAAUACCUCUGCAAUUUUGACGUUACCGACAGAAUAAGCACCGGCUAACUCUGUGCC
rnacentral:rRNA from 1 species